rnacentral:rRNA from 1 species
GUCUACGGCCAUGUCACCCUGAACGCGCCCAAUCUCGUCUGAUCUUGGAAGAUAAGCAGGGUCAGGCCUGGUUAGUACUUGGAUGGGAGAAUUUUAUAUUGAGAAAAACCUAAAGGUUACACC